GUUAUAUGUGAACAUUACUGCUUCUAUGUAUAUCCAGCAACAGUCAAAAUUGCCUAACCGACUUCGCACGUGGGCGAACGAUCUCCACACCACCGUUGAUAAUUUUUAUAAAUACUUGCAACAAGUUUUAUCGAAUCCUUUAAUAUUGUCCGUUCCAGAAGUUUUAGCGUGGUUUGGCAUCUCCAGAUAUUCCUUUUUAGAUACUUUUGGAAAUAAAAACUUUGAAGGGUUAGUAUCUAAGAACAGCGGUGGCUACCGAUUCCGUGGCAGUUUCGCUUUUUUAGCUUGUAAA